rfam:Bacillus sp. CHD6a contig53, whole genome shotgun sequence.
AGUCGAAAAAGGUUUGUCGCAAGAAGUCAGCAGAAGCCAUAGUAGUGGAAUUAUUCCAUGAAGGGC